AUGGGUGGCAGUCGCAGCGGCUCCCCACGGAGGAAAGGUAGGCGUUCCCGGUCCACAUCCCGUGAGAGAGAACGCAGGCUCCAAGAAAGGUCCAGGUCUCGGGAGAGAGAUGGGAGAAGGAACCGCUCGCCAACCCCGCACCUAGGACGCUCCCGAUCUCCAAGACGACAUAAAUCCACAUCUCCUUCCCCUUCUCAGCCGAACGAAAGAAGAGAUGAGGAAAAGAAAGAAACAAAGAGCAAAGAAUGGCAAAUUACUGAGGAAGACUUAGAGGGCAAAACAGAGGAAGAAAUAGAAAUGAUGAAGUUAAUGGAAUUUGUCUCCUUUGACUCCACAAAAGGUGAGAAGGUGGAUUGCUCUGUAAAUGCCUAUGCCAUAAUUGUCUCUCAGAAGAGGAAGUACGGGCAGUAGAUGAAUCGAAAAGGUGGAUUCCACAGACCUUUGGAUUUCAUUGCAUGA
rnacentral:lncRNA from 1 species